GACGAACGCUGGCGGCGUGCUUAACACAUGCAAGUCGAACGGAAAGGCCCUGCUUUUGUGGGGUGCUCGAGUGGCGAACGGGUGAGUAACACGUGAGUAACCUGCCCUUGACUUUGGGAUAACUUCAGGAAACUGGGGCUAAUACCGGAUAGGAGCUCCUGCUGCAUGGUGGGGGUUGGAAAGUUUCGGCGGUUGGGGAUGGACUCGCGGCUUAUCAGCUUGUUGGUGGGGUAGUGGCUUACCAAGGCUUUGACGGGUAGCCGGCCUGAGAGGGUGACCGGCCACAUUGGGCCUGAGAUACGGCCCAGACUCCUACGGGAGGCAGCAGUGGGGAAUAUUGCACAAUGGGCGGAAGCCCGAUGCAGCAACGCCGCGUGCGGGAUGACGGCCUUCGGGUUGUAAACCGCUUUCGCCUGUGACGAAGCGUGAGUGACGGUAAUGGGUAAAGAAGCACCGGCUAACUACGU
rnacentral:rRNA from 1 species